UGCACUUUCUCACUUUAGUAUCUUGUGGUUUAAAGUGCAGCAAGUUAGUAUUCUAUGGUUUCAUUUUUAUCUUGUCAUCAGCUUUCCCGUUAAUAUUUCAUUAAAUUGUAUGCAAAAAAUUUCAAAUACUCCACCUAGAUUUAUCGAAUAUUCACUUUAGUAUCUUUUAGUUUUAACUUUUUUAUUGAUUUGACGAAAAAAAUUAGUAGAUUCUGUAAUAAAAAGAUAAAACUAAAACAUAGGAUACUAAAUUGAUACAUUUAAAAGUUAGAAAGUGUGAAACCACAGGAGUGGUAUUUAAAGUUUUUCCAAAAAAAAAGCUUUUUCCUCUUGAUCACUCGUAUAGAAAACAUGAAGAGUAAAUGCAGCAUUCAAUUACAACCGGUCAAGUAAAUGUUAUUUUGUUUAUGGAUUAAUUUCAUACAUAUUUCUGCAAACAUAGUAAAUGACAAAUAUAUCUCUACAAAUAUAUUUUUCUGGUUUGUUAUCGUUAGUGAACCGUUUAUAUUUUCAAUUUUGGCAUCACAAAUAUAUCCUUCCAAAAGCUAUACUAGUAUAAUAUAAAAGGGUAAAAAUAUUAAAAACUGAUUAGGGUUAAACCAGAGGAACAUAUUUGUAGGGAUAUAUUUGUUAUUUAAUCUAUGGUUAACUAACUUUUUUCUAACGAAUUCUAACGGCAGAGACAUAUUUGAAAAUAUCAGGACUUUUGUAGGAACAAUAUAUGAAAGUUGAAUUUUGUAGAGAUAUAUUUAUUAUUCACUAUAUUUGUAAGGACAUGCAUGAAAUUAACCUUUUUUUUUUAUUGUAACACUCUAAUUAC
rnacentral:lncRNA from 1 species